ACUUGUGACAAGUUACAGCCCAGUCUGAUCCAUGGCUAUCUCAUUUCAGGUGGGUAAAGAUGAUCAAAUGACAAACUGGGAGAGCAUCUUGUAAAUUCUGAGGACUACGCAGAGGUACUUUGUUGCAGUGAUGCAAAGCUGUGAUAGGGGC
rnacentral:lncRNA from 1 species